ensembl:lncRNA
GACGGAGGGGGAGCAAAAUUAAUACACAGAUAUACACAGAGAGACCCAUACAGUCCUUCUGCUGCACUUGCUGCUCGCCCUUCAGUCCCGCGAGGGGGCGGCUCCGGCCGGCGCCCAGACCAAGGGGGUUCCUGGCUGGCUGAGUGUCACUCAGCAUCAAGCCAACUACUGAUGGUUUUAACUGGUGCUUAUGUCCUGCUGGGUGACCUGAUGCUGACUGACAGCCCAGGAUGCUUGUGGUGGAGCUUUCAAGACCCUUGAAGGGUAUGGACUUGUCUUCCCUCGCUUCCUGCUAAUGUAGUACAGGCAGUUUCUAGCCAACUGUCUACAGAUAAGAAAUCUAGAAUGCUAUUUUGCAAGCUUGAGAAUAAGAAUGGAUACUUCUGAAUUCCCAGAGUGCUUUUAAGUAGUCUUUAAUACCAUUGAAAUAACCAAGCAAGGGGAAGAGAAUUUUACAUAUUGAUUUCAAGUGAUGUCAAUUGGACAAUUCUGAGUUGUAUUUUAACCGAAAUCCUCCAAGUGCAAUGGUAAUGUCCAUAUUGUUGUUUGUCCUUCAUUCUCAAAGAGGACCCUAUGACAUCAGAAAGGUGAUUCCAUGAGAUGUGAGUGAAUGGGGACUUAGUAGGGGAGGACUGUGCAAAGUCACCAGCCUCCCUUUCCUCUCUGUGGUCAUCUGGGUCCAGUUGCAAGAUAUAGAUCAUGAGAUCUGGAGAUGUAAAAAGAAGGCAUUUAAUAAGGGAGGCCACCUGAUGUCAUAGAAAAAAUACUGAACUUAGAGGAUUUGGGUUCAAAUUCUUGUUCUCCUAUGGACUCCUUUAAUUCAUCUUUGUGGUCAUAUUUCUUUAAAAAAAAAAAAAAAAAAAAAGGACUAGAUGAUUUUAAGGCCACUUCCAGAUCUCAAUUGAUCAAAUAAUCUUAUUUUACAGGUAAAAAUUUCCUUUGAAGAACAAAGAUAAUUUUGUCUAUUUUCUUGUCUAUAGUUCCCCAUCCCUAUCCAUGAAAUUGGAAACUAUGACAUAGCAGAAAGAUUCUCAAGGAAAAAGACAUGGGUUGAAAUUUCACCUUGAUACUUAGCACCUGUGAGGCCUUAGGCAAAUAUGUCUAACUUUCUGAGUCUGUUUUCUCUUCUAUGAAACGAAGACGUUGAAUUAGAUGGCCACUUGCAGUUUAUUCCAACUCUAAAGUUAAGAUCCUAUGAACUUCAAAUGUUGAACCUAAGUACCUACUUCCUUAACAGUCUCAAUUAUAUCAUUAUCCUCACCAUCAUUAUUUAUAUGUACAUGUGUAUAUGUAUGCACAUAUAUAUAUAAUAUAUGCUUUUAAGAAACUUUAUAUGUAUGUACAUUCAUUAAAGUUCUACAUUAGUAGCUUAUGAAUAUAUGUAUACAUAUUUAUACAUGUGAGUAAGAACACUGGAUUUAGAUUCACGAAGAUCUGAAUUCAGAUCCUGCUUUGGAAUCCCCCUCUACUAUAACUUAAAUUCUUUUUUUUUCCUGUUCUUUUUUUAUUAAAGUUUUUUAUUUUAAAAAAUGUGCAUGGAUAAUUUUUCAACAUUAACCCUUGCAAAACUUUGUGUUCUAAUCCCCCUCCUCCAUCCUUUCCCCUA